rnacentral:ncRNA from 1 species
UUAGUGUGGCUUAAUUUGAUUCGAUACGAGGAAACUUAUCAUGUCAAAACAUAAGGAUUAACAGAUAGAAAACUCUUUCUUAGUGGUGCAUGGUUGUUCUUAGUUGGUGAAACAAUUUAUUUGGUUAAUUUCGAUAACGAAUGAGACAACAGCUUGCUAAUUAGUUAUACGGAAACAUCUUUAUGCAGUCAGCUUCUUAGAGGGACUACAAUCGUUUAAGCCAUAAAAGUUUGAGGUAAUAACAUGUCUAUGAUGCCUUUAAAUGUUUUGGGCCACACACACGUAUUACUAUAUUAAGUAAAGUGUAUAGCCUUGUUUGAUAAUCCUGAGUAAUCUUUAAAAAUUUUAUCAUGAUGGGGAUAGAUCAUUACAAUUGUUGGUCUUCAACGAGGAAUUCAUAAUAAACAUGAGUCAUCAACUUAUGGUGACUA